GCUGUGAGGAUGGAAUGGGGAACCUGGACAGCUCCAGCAAUCUUACUGCAGAAGGUGCUUCUGGGUGGAUCCCAGGCAGAGGAAUCAGAGGCAAAACAUGGAGGGAGUGAACUCCUGAAAUCACUUGGGUUCUGAAUCCAGCCAAGCCCGAAACCAGCCCUGCCCUGGGCUUUUCAGCUCAACCUACUGCCUGCCCAGGGCCAUCAAUAAUAAAUGUCCACAGACAGCUGAAGGACAUUAAAGACAGAUGGUGAUGGAUCAGAGCACUCAUCAGCCACUGGGUGUAGACUGUAUAAAAAGCUGAGCCCAGAGGCCACCAUGAUCAACCUGCAACCUGGCAAGAAAUGGACUCAACUCCACAGACAGCAGUUGUCAGGGAGCCCAGACAUGUAAGGAUGCGGCAAAGGCCCUCGCCAGAUGCUGAAUGCGGAUGCCGUCAUCUUGGACUUCCUAGCUUCCAGAACGCUGCCUCUGUCAUAUACCAAGCUUGCAUCUAUAUGUGGCUCAGUGUCCAGGCUGCCUGACAUCCCAGGACAAUGCUGCACUGAUUUACUCUCUACAGCUCCAUGAGACAGAGCACUACGGAAGGGAGCCCCAUUCCCAAGCAUGGUGUCCAAUACACUGAAAGAAUAACUGGGCUCAGUAAUGCACCUAGAGACUCAGAUUCCAGACCUGCCCACUUGCUUUACUAUCCAAAACAACCAUGACACAUGACUUCUCUGGCGGGGUGUUGGCCAAGACAAACUGAACUAUAGAAGAUCCUUGACUUGCCAACGUUCAAAUGAUGAACUUUCAAAAAUAGCGAAACUGGCUGCAGAGCAAAAGCUUUUCAGCUCUGCACAACACCAACAGAUGGCGCUAAGUGUCACCCUUGUGGAGAGCAGAGGGACCUCGGAAGGGCCUUUGGAAAUCUAAUCUGGUUUUGAGUUCUUGGUGGGAAAAUGCACCUUUAAGUUGGGGGAGUUUGAAGACGUUGCCAAGACACGUGCUGCAGCAUUUGAUCUUUUCUGCCGCACUGGCUUCUGCAAUUAACAUGCUUUCACCAGUGAAACUCAGGUUGCGGGGAGAGCAUUCUUCCAGGUUCAUGCCUGUUGUCAUGGAGUAAUUAUAAUUCAUGUCUCCGUUCACAGUGUCCUGGUUUGUAGAAUAAAAUAUCUGGUCCACCCACCCAGUGGGA
rnacentral:lncRNA from 1 species